rnacentral:rRNA from 1 species
CCUACGGGGGGCUGCAGUGGGGAAUAUUGGACAAUGGGCGAAAGCCUGAUCCAGCCAUGCCGCGUGUGUGAAGAAGGCCUUCGGGUUGUAAAGCACUUUCAGUGGGGAAGAAAGCCUUGGGGCUAAUACCCUCGAGGAAGGACAUCACCCACAGAAGAAGCACCGGCUAACUCCGUGCCAGCAGCCGCGGUAAUACGGAGGGUGCGAGCGUUAAUCGGAAUUACGGGGCGUAAAGCGCGCGUAGGCGGUCUGAUAAGCCGGUUGUGAAAGCCCCGGGCUCACCCUGGGAACGGCAUCCGGAACUGUCAGGCUAGAGUGCAGGAGAGGAAGGUAGAAUUCCCGGUGUAGCGGUGAAAUGCGUAGAGAUCGGGAGGAAUACCAGUGGCGAAGGCGGCCUUCUGGACUGACACUGACGCUGAGGUGCGAAAGCGUGGGUAGCAAACAGGAUUAGAUACCCCUGUAGUC